CUUUAAAAAAAUCAACCGUAAAUUCAAAUUCCGCUACCAACAGUCACUAUAAUUGAACUUUCACUCAUGAAUGCAACAAUUUUGUUGAAAUCAGUCAAGCUGUUUUCU
rnacentral:lncRNA from 1 species